rnacentral:rRNA from 1 species
UACGUAGGGCGCAAGCGUUGUCCGGAAUUAUUGGGCGUAAAGAGCUCGUAGGCGGCUUGUUGCGUCGGUUGUGAAAGCCCGGGGCUUAACCCCGGGUCUGCAGUCGAUACGGGCAGGCUAGAGUGUGGUAGGGGAGAUCGGAAUUCCUGGUGUAGCGGUGAAAUGCGCAGAUAUCAGGAGGAACACCGGUGGCGAAGGCGGUUCUCUGGGCCUUACCUGACGCUGAGGAGCGAAAGCGUGGGGAGCGAACAGG